GAUGAACGCUGGCGGCGUGCCUAAUACAUGCAAGUCGAGCGAACAGACGAGGAGCUUGCUCCUCUGACGUUAGCGGCGGACGGGUGAGUAACACGUGGAUAACCUACCUAUCAGACUGGGAUAACUUCGGGAAACCGGAGCUUAUACCGGAUAAUAUAUUGAACCGCAUGGUUCAAUAGUGAAAGACGGUUUUGCUGUCACUUAUAGAUGGAUCCGCGCCGCAUUAGCUAGUUGGUAAGGUAACGGCUUACCAAGGCAACGAUGCGUAGCCGACCUGAGAGGGUGAUCGGCGACACUGGAACUGAGACACGGUCCAGACUCCUACGGGAGGCAGCAGUAGGGAAUCUUCCGCAAUGGGCGAAAGCCUGACGGAGCAACGCCGCGUGAGUGAUGAAGGUCUUCGGAUCGUAAAACUCUGUUAUUAGGGAAGAACAAAUGUGUAAGUAACUAUGCACGUAUUGACGGUACCUAAUCAGAAAGCCACGGCUAACUACGUG
rnacentral:rRNA from 1 species